rnacentral:lncRNA from 1 species
AAAAGAAAAGAAAAGCUUACCAGGUGAUUGAACCAUCCUGGGGUGUAGCCUGCUAGCUCAGACCUUCUAUGAGGUGGGAGAAUCAGGAAGUCUCUUUGCCAGAGGAAACGGAGUGUCAGUUAACUGCACAACAUGACUUGGUGGAGAGAACACAGUCUUCCUGGCCAGCUUCGUCACAUCUUGGUCAUUCAACCUUGGGCAAGUGAUCUGUUGGGAUUCAUUCAUUAAAGUGUUGAUUCAAAGACCUGCCGAAUCAUCGCAUCAAAAUACAAGUUUCCAGGCCCCCUCCCACACCUCUUGAAUCACCCUCUGGAGGUGGCCCCAGGAAGUGAGCAUUUUCAGCUCCCAGUUUGUGAAUCACCACCUUAAAUACAAUAUUGUGUGGAAGAAAUCACCUUUGUUAAAAAUAUUCUCAGUGGGUGUUAUUUCUUUUGGCCUUCUCUCUUCCAAGGAGGAAAUAAAGAGCAGUAACCUGAAGACUCUGAAAUAUUUAAAACAGAAAACCUUUAGAAUCUCAAUUUAGCUGGUUUGUGGCAUUUGCAGGGGGAGGGAGAGAUUAUCCGAAGGUAAGAGACUUUUCUUUCUUUGAAGCUGUUCCUGUGAUGUGAAUCAAACCAUUCAUGCAGAGAACAAAAGCACUUUUGACUUCAAGGGCCAGUUAAGAUGGUAACUUAAAUAAACAGGGAGGAAAAGAGAUAUGACAAAAGGUCAGCUUAGUCAUAGCUUCUUGAGCUUCAACCGAAGUAGUGCCUGAGGCUGAACAGCUAAAUUGCAUUUGCAAUUAUCCACCCUUCCAGAGGUUCCUGGACUGAAGUCACCAGAUCUGUAAAGUCAGUUCAGAGGGAGGUCUGGGAACUAUUUUCAAUAUUUCAAAAUUUACAGCGCAGUGCUUCUCAAAGCACGGUUCAAGAAACAUGAGAUCAAACCACCUUAAUAAUGAGGACCGUGCUUAGUAAACACGAAGAUUCCUCUGUCCCAACCUAAAAGAUGAUAUUUCAGAGUGUUUGGUAUGGAGCUUGGAAAUCUAUAUUUCUUUUCAAACACCAGGUGAUUUUGAGAGAACUCUUUUUGUGAUAAAAUUAGCUAAAAUAUCCCUGAGUAACAUCCCCAUUUUCUCUGCUUUAGCUGACAUGAUCAAGCCAGCUUAGCACAGGCUAAUCAGAAUUUCUAAUGAUCAGAUGCAGGUCUUUAAUUAAUAAAAGAAGGAAAAUGAGUUAUUAUGUAAUAACAAUUUGCUUAGUAGUGAAAAAUCUAUCCAAACAUGAGUCAAAAAAACUUUCUUUUAAAAGAA